rnacentral:rRNA from 1 species
UACGUAGGGUGCGAGCGUUAAUCGGAAUCACUGGGCGUAAAGCGUGCGCAGGCGGUUUUGUAAGACAGGUGUGAAAUCCCCGGGCUUAACCUGGGAAUGGCAUUUGGGACUGCAAGGCUUGAGUGCGGCAGAGGAGACUGGAAUUCCUGGUGUAGCAGUGAAAUGCGUAGAUAUCAGGAGGAACACCGAUGGCGAAGGCAGGUCUCUGGGCUGACACUGACGCUCAUGCACGAAAGCGUGGGGAGCAAACAGG